rnacentral:misc_RNA from 1 species
AUUAUUGGACUGAUUCCACGGGAUACUUGUCACCUCCCACCAUCAACGAGUAUCAAGUAACUCUAUCCACAAAGGCGAGGACAGAUGGGAUGAAAUAGUGAAUAUUUUGUUUCAGCUGGGAUUUGGGGUCCUUUACCAAUAAUUCUUUCUAUUUCAGGUUAAAAAUUCCAAUGUUUUUUCCUCUUCAAAUAUUAACUAGACACAGGAA